rnacentral:misc_RNA from 1 species
UGACGUUUCGCGAAAAUAUUGUUUUUGACACUUUUUAUGAUAUACUUUUUGUUAUGUGUUUUUUCUUUAAACCUAAGAUUGGCCGAUUGCGAUAAAAACCAUAGAAAGAAGAAUAAUAACCAUAACCUCAAAGUCGAAGUUUUAGUUCAAAAUGUCAUUUAGUUGUUCAAAUGUCAUAGUCAUUUACUUUGUUUGGAUUACACACAUCAUGCCGAAAAUCCCGAAUCUCCGUGCAUUUGGUAAACAUUGUCACAAUUGUGGAAAGUGGAUGGAGCGAAGGGCUCUUCGUAAAGAUGGUGUGUAGUAUUUUAGUAGUGACAUGCAAUUUUUGUAAUGGCAAAAUAUUUGCAAGAGAUGGCAAACAAAAGCAAAUGUGCAGUCGAUGUGUGGAAUGCGACAACAUUAUACUCGAUAAUUUCAAUUAUUGCGAGUGCUGUGGGUGUAAAAUGAAAAAUAAUACUUAUUACCGGAUAGAGAUGUCGAUAACGAAGAGUUGAAUGUUAGAACUUAUGAAAAUAUUAUUUACAACUCAUUUCGAGAAGCUGCUCAAGCAAGAGGGCUCCUUUUUGACGAUCAAGAAUGGGAAAGAUGUUUGAAUGAAGCAAUUGAUUUUAAACUUCCUCGGCAAUUAUUUCGAGUUCGAAGAUUCGAUGAUGUAAAAAUUCAAAUUAUCAAUACCACUGAACAAGGCUUGAAAGGUGAUUAAUAUUUAUCGAAAAAUGUUAUAUAUAGAGAAAUUUUGUGAUAAUCAACCUCUGAUGUAUAAUAGAGAAUAUUUUUUUAUAAGUACCUUUGCCAAAUUCUCGGAUAAGUACUCAUUGUAAAAUUACAAUUUACAUAUACUUCCUAAUAUUAUUCUUGAUUUAGCCAAUUUGGAUAAAGAACCACAAUUUCAUAUUUUAUUUUUAAAAUUAGUAAGUACUUAUCUACCUGACAACUGGUCACUCACAAAACACCACAGGGAAAAGCUUGAACGCUGUCAAAGAGCCAUGGAAAGGAGUAUGACCGGCAUAAAGAAACAAGACAGAGUAAGAAGCAGCACGAUACGACAAAAAACCAAAAUAGUGGAUAUACUAACACGCAUUGACCAACAGAAGUGGAGGUGGACUGGCCACAUGAUGAGAGACCCGCAAAACAAAUGGAGUACAGUUGUCUCCGAUUGGUACCCCAGAGAUGGCAAACGCAACAGAGGACGUCAACAAAUGCGAUGGGAAGACGACUUGAGACUCACGGCAGGAAAUAAGUGGCGAAGAGUGGCAAGGGACAGAACCCAAUGGAAGAAGUUAGAGGCCUAUGCCAAGAGGCACACUGAACUACGAGACAUAUUGUAGUACCUCGGGACUAUAGAGUCCCGGAUUUUUGGGAGGCGAACGUGGGGCC